rnacentral:rRNA from 1 species
CCCACAGGCAUUGCCUUAGUAGCGGCGAGUGAGCGGCAGAGCUCAAUUUGAAAUCUGGUACUUUCAGUAUCCGAGUUGUAAUUUGAAGAAAGUUAUCUUGGAGUUGGCCCUUGUCUAUGUUCCUUGGAACAGGACGUCACAGAGGGUGAGAAUCCCGUGCGAUGGGGUGCCCAUUCUAUGUAAGAUACUUUCGACGAGUCGAGUUGUUUGGGAAUGCAGCUCUAAGUGGGUGGUAAAUUCCAUCUAAAGCUAAAUAUUGGCGAGAGACCGAUAGCGAACAAGUACAGUGAUGGAAAGAUGAAAAGAACUUUGAAAAGAGAGUGAAAAAGUACGUGAAAUUUGUUGAAAGGGAAGGGUAUUUGAUCAGACUGAUAUUCAGUUAACACUGGUUCCUUGGGGGAUGGUUGCUCCUAGCUUUUUUAUUGGGCCAGGCAUCAGUUUAAGGUGGCAGGAUAAAGACUGGUGAACCGUGGCUCUUCCGGAGGGGUAUAGCUUCAGUUGUACCGGCUUUCUAAACGGGGGUCUCGGGCUUUUCCAAGAAGGUGGGGGAAAGGGCUAAAACCCCCCCCCUGAAACCACGCACCAC